UGUUCAUCCAGCUCUACACCUUGUUAUCUCAGAUUCUCCAGCAUCUGCAGUUCCUACUAUCUCUGGGAUCUAAGGCACGUGCCUCACCUAUUCAUGUGAAAAUCUGAAUGCAGAAAAGCACAUAUAUUGACUCUGUUCUACAAAUACACACGAAACUGAAAGAAAAUACAGUGUUGAGAGUUUUAAUUCACUUGGGAGGGAUAAAAUUAAAUCAUUUUUUUUAAAAAAUCCCUCAAGAUGUCUCUCGUUCUGUCACCCAGUUUGAAGUCCAAUGACUGUCAAUAUACAAGCAAAUAUUGUAUCCAUUCCUCAUAUAAACAGUCUCUAUAAACAAUAAUGAACGGCCAGUUGUACUGAUUUUGGAUGAUUGUAAUCGAGGGAAAAUGUUGACCAGAACACUAUGGACCAGCUCUCUUCUUUACUUGAUGUUAAUAUAUCAGCAAUUUCAAAAAUCAAAAUGGAUGCAUGGGGGCCCAGUUUAAUAUUUUGUCAAAAUUAUGACACCUCUGACAAAGCAGCACUCCAUCAGCACAACACUGGUUUAAAUGCUUAAGUCUUCAGUGGAAGUUGAAUGUAGUUUUAAAGCCAUUAAGUUUGUGCCUUUAAGGAUACAAACUUACACCAUUUUAUUUUGGUUGCAGGUAUUAUCCUGAAGUUAAAUAUUUGGAAGCAGCCCCCUGAUUUAAAAUGCUAUGAUGACCAAAUUUAUUGGGAGUUUCCACACUUAGCAACUAUGAUCUGAAAACAUUCACCAGCACUGUGUCUAUAUGGAAACAAUAAGACUACCGACUACAGAUGUUGAUUAAUUUCCAAAGGUUUGAAGUAAUUUCACAAGAAAUGUACAAAAGAACAAAGGUCUCUUGAAUUUUAGCAAGCGAUAAUGUAUGAUUGUGUCUGCUGGUACCACUGCCCAAAUGUAAUAUAAAACACAUCUAUGCAUGUUGAAAACACAUGUAAAACAAAUGGACUGUGUAAGCAUUUGUCAAAAUGCAAGAGCUUUAUAUAUUGUUUUGUUUUUUCUGUUUUUGAUUAAGUAUUGUACUGAAUAUGUGAAAACUUGCAUUUCUUGAUCAUGUGUAAACUUAUAAGCUAGCAUUAAAAAAUGUUGAAGAAACAUUGACAUAGUAACUAUUUAGAAAAGGUGAAACUUCCUUCAUGGAGUAUUUAACAAAUUCAUUGCACUCUGACUCAUCCAGACCAGGAAGAUUCCAUACUCAGGAUUCCAUGGUCUGUGCUGAGUUAGAUAAUGUCAACUAAGCCAACAAUAUGCUUUUGCAAUUACUUCUGUAUCCCUUGGAAAAGAACAGGAAAAAUCAGCUUGCGUUAUUAUUUCCAUCUAGGAUUUUUGGUGGAAAAAUAUCUGUGAAUAAAACAAAUCAAAUAAUCAGCCAACA